rnacentral:rRNA from 1 species
GUUUGAUCCUGGCUCAGGAUGAACGCUAGCGGCAGGCCUAAUACAUGCAAGUCGAACGGGUGUAGCAAUACACUAGUGGCGCACGGGUGCGUAACGCGUAACCAACCUACCUACAACUGGGGGAUAGCCCGCCGAAAGGCGGAUUAAUACCGCAUAUACCGGCAGCCUGGCAUCAGGGAACUGGGAAAGAUUUAUUGGUUGUAGAUGGGGUUGCGUAGCAUUAGCUAGAUGGCGGGGUAACGGCCCACCAUGGCGACGAUGCUUAGGGGACCUGAGAGGGUGAUCCCCCACACGGGCACUGAGAUACGGGCCCGACUCCUACGGGAGGCAGCAGUAGGGAAUAUUGGGCAAUGGGCGAGAGCCUGACCCAGCCAUGCCGCGUGCCGGAUGAAGGCCUUCUGGGUUGUAAACGGCUUUUCUCAGGGAAGAAAAAGGGUAUGCGUACCACACUGACGGUACCUGAGGAAUAAGCACCGGCUAACUCCGUGCCAGCAGCCGCGGUAAUACG